rnacentral:rRNA from 1 species
GAUGCAGCCAUGCCGCGUGUGUGAAGAAGGCUCUAGGGUUGUAAAGCACUUUCAGUAGUGAGGAAAGGUUUAAGGUUAAUACCCUUAAGCUGUGACGUUAACUGCACAAUAAGCACCGGCUAACUCCGUG